AACUGAAUGGUGUAAUUUAGAUUUGAUAUGAACACUGCGUUCGCUUAGUUCGCUUUUAUGAAAACAGGGUUCACCUUCGCUUAGUUGGUUAAUAUCGUUGGAUUAGAGGUUUGAGUUGCAACCUUAUUUUGUUGAUCUGUGAUUGGAAACAUUGUAAUUAAGUUAAUGACCAACCAUUUUUAUUCUGUCUUUGAACCCAUUUUUAAAUCUGUUUAAUUAUUAGUUGCGUCUAUGUUUUGAUUAUAUUCAUCUGCAUUCACCACAAACUUUUCACAACCCCCCCACCUUCGUUUUUGACUCGAUUCUUGAACCUCAAAAUUGGUCUUUGGGAGACGACCUAGGGGUCAUUCCCUAACUAUACUGCAUUUAUUUGCACAUCAAAUUUAUGUGGGUUGCGACAGCCCAUCAAAUUUUGGCGCCGGUGCCGGGGACCAACGGUUCAGUUGUGAGUCUUGUGUUGUGUUGUGUUUUGUCUCGUAUUGUGAGUGUGUUGUUCUGUUUUGUGUUUUCGUCAUUAUGUGUUGCAUUUAAGUGGCUUUAGUUGCAUAUUUUCAUUGCAUCCUUCUUUUCCCCCCUUCUUUUACAUGUCUACCUAUUUUGGUUAUGUGAGUAAUGCUUAUUCUGCCUGUGUCUAUGACUCUACUUCUGAAUUUGACUCUGAUAUUGCUUGUGGUGUAUACUCAGCUGAUGUCUAUGUUGAGAACAUUACGG
rnacentral:lncRNA from 1 species